UGGCGGCGUGCUUACACAUGCAAGUCGAACGAUGACGACCGUGCUUGCACGGUCUGAUUAGUGGCGAACGGGUGAGUAACACGUGAGUAACCUGCCCCUCACUUCGGGAUAACCUCGGGAAAUCGUGGCUAAUACCGGAUACGAGCACUCAUCGCAUGGUGGGUGUUGGAAAGAUUUAUCGGUGGGGGAUGGACUCGCGGCCUAUCAGUUUGUUGGUGAGGUGAUGGCUCACCAAGACGAUGACGGGUAGCCGGCCUGAGAGGGCGACCGGCCACACUGGGACUGAGACACGGCCCAGACUCCUACGGGAGGCAGCAGUGGGGAAUAUUGCACAAUGGGCGAAAGCCUGAUGCAGCGACGCCGCGUGGGGGAUGACGGCCUUCGGGUUGUAAACCCCUUUCAGUAGGGAAGAAGCGAGAGUGACGGUACCUGCAGAAGAAGCGCCGGCUAACUACGUGCCAGCAGCCGCGGUAAUACGUAGGGCGCAAGCGUUGUCCGGAAUUAUUGGGCGUAAAGAGCUUGUAGGUGGCUUGUCGCGUCUGCCGUGAAAACCCGAGGCUCAACCUCGGGCGUGCGGUGGGUACGGGCAGGCUAGAGUGUGGUAGGGGAGACUGGAACUCCUGGUGUAGCGGUGAAAUGCGCAGAUAUCAGGAAGAACACCGAUGGCGAAGGCAGGUCUCUGGGCCAUUACUGACACUGAGAAGCGAAAGCAUGGGUAGCGAACAGGAUUAGAUACCCUGGUAGUCCAUGCCGUAAACGUUGGGCACUAGGUGUGGGGGACAUUCCACGUUUUCCGCGCCGUAGCUAACGCAUUAAGUGCCCCGCCUGGGGAGUACGGCCGCAAGGCUAAAACUCAAAGGAAUUGACGGGGGCCCGCACAAGCGGCGGAGCAUGCUGAUUAAUUCGAUGCAACGCGAAGAACCUUACCAAGGCUUGACAUGCACUGGGACGGCUGCAGAGAUGUGGCUUUCUUUGGACUGGUGCACAGGUGGGU
rnacentral:rRNA from 1 species